rnacentral:sRNA from 1 species
GCUGGGAGCAGUGGUGCACAUCUGUAAUCCCAGCAGUUUGGGAGGCUGAGGUAGGAGGAUCACGAGUUCAAAGCCAGCCGCAGCAAAAAAACAAGGCCUUAAGCAACUUAGUGAGACCCUGUCUUUA